rnacentral:lncRNA from 1 species
UUCUGACCCACCUCACUGUGGUGUUGGAUGAAUGCCAGUGCCCAUUCAGAUCCUAUGUGCUCUCACUGUCUGGCAAGGACCAAUACACCACAACAUGGAUAAGGCAGUGACUACUGCUUUGCAGUAUGGAAGCACAGUAUGCAUCACUGCUGGUUGCCCAUAAAAUAUAAGAUUAUGAAAAACAUUGUUACACAGGCUAAACAUUUUUUCUGAAACAUCUCAGUGAAAAGUAG